AUUGAACGCUGGCGGCAGGCCUAACACAUGCAAGUCGAACAAGUGGCGGACUGGUGCGUAAUGUCUGGGAACAUGCCUGGUGGAAGGGGAUAACUACUGGAAACAGUAGCUAAUACCGCAUACCCUCGGCUCGGCCCAGAUGGGAUUAGCUAGUAGGUGGGGUAAAGGCUCACCGAGGCUACGAUCCCUAGCUGGUCUGAGAGGAUGACCAGCCACACUGGAACUGAGACACGUGCCAUACUCCGACGGGUGGCAGCAGUGGGGAAGCUUGCACGAUGGGCGCAAGCCUGAUGCAGCCAUGCCGCGUGUAUGAAGCAGGUCUUCGGGUUGUAAAGUACUUUUAGCGGGGAUGCGUUAUCCGCAGAAGAAGCCCCGGCUAACUCCGUGCUAGCAGCCGCGGUAAUUC
rnacentral:rRNA from 1 species